AGACGUCUACGAGUUUGAUCCUGGCUCAAGAACGAACGCUGGCGGCAUGCCUAACACAUGCAAGUCGAACGAAGGCUUCGGCCUUAGUGGCGCACGGGUGCGUAACGCGUGGGAACCUGCCCCUCGGUUCGGAAUAACAGUUAGAAAUGACUGCUAAUACCGGAUGAUGACUUCGGUCCAAAGAUUUAUCGCCGAGGGAUGGGCCCGCGUAGGAUUAGCUAGUUGGUGGAGUAAAGGCCUACCAAGGCGACGAUCCUUAGCUGGUCUGAGAGGAUGAUCAGCCACACUGGGACUGAGACACGGCCCAGACUCCUACGGGAGGCAGCAGUGGGGAAUAUUGGACAAUGGGCGAAAGCCUGAUCCAGCAAUGCCGCGUGAGUGAUGAAGGCCUUAGGGUUGUAAAGCUCUUUACCAGGGAUGAUAAUGACAGUACCUGGAGAAUAAGCUCCGGCUAACUCCGUG
rnacentral:rRNA from 1 species